rnacentral:lncRNA from 1 species
GUGGGCCGUCGUUGAUCAGACCCACCUUAAUUUAUUGGGCUCAAAUGAUAACGGGCUGAAAUAAAGGCCCCCCCUCACUUUUUUUUUUUUAUUUAUUUGUUUGGGCUUUCGUAAGGGCUUACCCACUCACAUUUCUUUUUUUUUAUUUGUUUGGGCUUUCGUAAGGGCCCACCCACUCACAUUUUUAAAUGGGCUUAUUGUAUAAUAUAAUUAUUGACCCGAGAAAAUUAAUGAUUAAUACGAGACCUAUUAGGAUUGUAUGAACUCGAAUCUAAUCAUUUUUUUAUUAGGAUUAGGAUUGUUUCAACCUAUAUAUAUGUAUGGCAAGUAUUAUUUUACUUCA